rfam:Termite gut metagenome tgut2b_Contig37579, whole genome shotgun sequence.
UCCGCCGCGAGGCGGAAUCUGAAGGAAGCCGGAGGCAAAGUUCCAAGCCGACGAACAGGAACCGCAUAUGAGGCAUGGCAAGGCGGACGAGUUUGCCGAACAAAACGAAGUCCAAAAGGCCGGGGAGUAAGAGAAUAAACCCCGACCGUACUGCCCGAACCUUGCAGUGUAGAUGCGGCGGCCGCAUGGAAUGAAGGUUAUCGGA